AUUGAACGCUGGCGGCAGGCCUAACACAUGCAAGUCGAGCGGAUGAAGGGAGCUUGCUCCUGGUUUCAGCGGCGGACGGGUGAGUAAUGCCUAGGAAUCUGCCUGGUAGUGGGUGAUAACGUCCGGAAACGGGCGCUAAUACCGCAUACGUCCUGAGGGCGUAAGUGUGGGAUCUUCGGACCUCACGCUAUCACAUGAGCCUAGGUCGGAUUAGCUAGUUGGUGGGGUAAAGGCCUACCAAGGCGACGAUCCGUAACUGGUCUGAGAGGAUGAUCAGUCACACUGGAACUGAGACACGGUCCAGACUCCUACGGGAGGCAGCAGUGGGGAAUAUUGGACAAUGGGCGAAAGCCUGAUCCAGCCAUGCCGCGUGUGUGAAGAAGGUCUUCGGAUUGUAAAGCACUUUAAGUUGGGAGGAAGAGCAGUAAGUUAAUACCUUGCUGUUUUGACGUUACCAAAAGAAUAAGCACCGGCUAACUUCGUG
rnacentral:rRNA from 1 species